AAUUAGAUAAUUCGCGCUACGCGACAUCCAUAUUUGAAUCGAACAGGAAGUAUCGGACCACAGUUUUCCGCGAACGGAAUCUCGAGAAUCGAGAAGUUUCGUCUCUCUUCGUUUCCGGUUUGUUGCGCGCGAUCAUUCCUGUCGAGAUGUUUCCGAGAAAUAAUUGUGAUUGAGUAUCCUAAAUAUCGAAGGAAUAGAUGAUAUAAAUAUACACUCAGCUACAAGUAAACGGGCAUAAUAUCAGGAAUGUAACAAAAAAAUAUCGAGGGUCAUUAUGUAGACAUUGUAAUUUACAUCGGUAGUGCAAAAGUGUGACGUCACAUUCGGUCAGGGUCAACUCUGCGGGACCCCCGAUACUCUUUGAACACCAUUAAAGACAGAUUGGCGGUCUACGCGAUCACGGAUAUGGAAAAAUAAACAUGGCGGAAAGGAAGGAUCUACAUCGAAAUAAUCGUGGAAUAAAGAUUCCUGGACUUUUCCAGCAGCUUUAUCGCGGGAAAAUGUUUCGCGCGGUUCCCCUGGCAGUUCUGGAAAUCCAUCGAUCCGGAAUCGCUCUACUCGCCUCCUCGCAAUUAUUAAUCCGACGAAGCGUGUCACGCGGCGCCGUCGCUCGGAGGAGACGGCGGAACUACACCACCUUGUUACGGAGCGAAAAGGAAAGUCUGGCACAAACUCGGAGCAUUAAUUCCCAGUCUCGGCGCGCUCGAUUUUCGUCGCGGCGUCGAGUCCGGUAGAUUCACGACGUGAUUGUCGAUCCUCCACGAGAACUCCGCGAGUUCGCUUCGCGGCGCCGAUGGGAACCAAGCGCGCGCGAGGCCGCCCGGCAGACUGAGAGGAGCGAGCAGUCGACGCGGCCAGUUGGUAGUCAG
rnacentral:lncRNA from 1 species